rnacentral:rRNA from 1 species
CAAUAGCGUAUAUUAAAGUUGUUGCAGUUAAAAAGCUCGUAGUUGGAUUUCGGGGCAGCCUGGCUGGUCCGCCGCAAGGCGAGUACUGGUCAGCCGCCCUUCCUCUCGAAAGCCCCGACUGCUCUUUAUUGCAGUGGUCGGGUAGUUCGGGACGUUUACUUUGAAAAAAUUAGAGUGUUCAAGGCAGGCCUACGCCUGAAUACAUUAGCAUGGAGUAAUGGAAGAGGACCUCGGUCCUAUUUUGUUGGUUUCCAGGACCGAAGUAAUGAUUAAGAGGGACAGUUGGGGGCAUUCGUAUUAAAUUGUCAGAGGUGAAAUUCUCGGAUUUAUGAAAGACGAACAACUGCGAAAGCAUUUGCCAAGGAUGUUUUCAUUAA